rnacentral:rRNA from 1 species
GUACACUCCUACGGGAGGCAGCAGUGGGGAAUAUUGGACAAUGGGCGCAAGCCUGAUCCAGCCAUGCCGCGUGAGUGAUGAAGGCCCUAGGGUUGUAAAGCUCUUUCACCGGUGAAGAUAAUGACGGUAACCGGAGAAGAAGCCCCGGCUAACUUCGUGCCAGCAGCCGCGGUAAUACGAAGGGGGCUAGCGUUGUUCGGAUUUACUGGGCGUAAAGCGCACGUAGGCGGACUAUUAAGUCAGGGGUGAAAUCCCGGGGCUCAACCCCGGAACUGCCUUUGAUACUGGUAGUCUUGAGUUCGAGAGAGGUGAGUGGAAUUCCGAGUGCAGAGGUGAAAUUCGUAGAUAUUCGGAGGAACACCAGUGGCGAAGGCGGCUCACUGGCUCGAUACUGACGCUGAGGUGCGAAAGCGUGGGGAGCAAACAGGAUUAGAUACCCCAGUAGUCCCA